ACACUCCUACGACGCGUACGAGCCGAAACGUCGACGGUCGACGCUGGAAUUCUGCAGGAACAGCACCCUAACUCGAAAUUGAUGGAGCUUGAAAAAAAUAAAGUGAUUUCGAUGGAUCACUCACCUCGAAAACUCCUCUAGAACCAGCACAACGUCGACGACGGUGAAAAUCCACACUCAUCCAGCCUCCUCGCAGCACCACGACGACGAAUACACGCUCGAACGGCACCGCAGCGCGACAUCGACGACACCCGAACUCCACCCGGCUCCUCUUUGCUCACGAUCAG
rnacentral:lncRNA from 1 species